UACGUAGGGUGCGGGCGUUGUCCGGAAUUAUUGGGCGUAAAGAGCUUGUAGGCGGUUUGUCGCGUCUGCUGUGAAAAUCCGGGGCUCAACCCCGGACUUGCAGUGGGUACGGGCAGACUAGAGUGUGGUAGGGGAGACUGGAAUUCCUGGUGUAGCGGUGAAAUGCGCAGAUAUCAGGAGGAACACCGAUGGCGAAGGCAGGUCUCUGGGCCACUACUGACGCUGAGAAGCGAAAGCAUGGGGGGCGAACAGG
rnacentral:rRNA from 1 species